UACGAGGGGGGCGAGCGUUUGUUCGGAAUUAUUGGGCGUAAAGGGUGCGUAGGCGGUUUGGUAAGUCUUAUGUGAAAUCUACAGGCUCAACUUGUAGUCUGCAUGAGAAACUGCCGGGCUUGAGUAUGGGAGAGGUGAGCGGAAUUCCUGGUGUAGCGGUGAAAUGCGUAGAUAUCAGGAGGAACACCGGCGGUGUAGACGGCUUUCUGGACCGUAGCUGACGCUGAGACACGAAAGCGUGGGUAGCAAACAGG
rnacentral:rRNA from 1 species